AUGUAUCAUGUGGCAUGGGUUGUAGUGGAAAAAGAAACAACUGGGAGUUGGAAGUGGUUCAUUGGGCUUCUGAUAAAAGACUUGGAUAUUAAUGAUCAAGGAGCUGGAUGGGUUUUCAUUUCUGACCAGCAAAAGGUAUAUUUUAUUACAUGA
rnacentral:rRNA from 1 species